UUUGUGAUGAUCAACGAUUCAAGAGAUUCAGCUCUUGAUAAAUCAGUAAUCAAGCUUUGAUCAUGAGAACACUGUAGCUGUGUCUCUGAACAAUGAUGCGAAGGUGAUGUUAAUCUACUUGGAGUUGGUGCUGGUUGGAGGACAUUCACUGGACAACAUUGCAAGUGAUUUAUUGGACUAUUGGGAUCAAGAAAAUUACUAAAAUUUGUACCAAGUGACAAAACGAUAACAUUUUGGGAUCAACAUAAUUUAAAGACAAGGACAAGUUACUAAAUACUCAUGUAAUAAUCACAACAGUAACGACUACGAUUGAAGAUAAUUUGGUGUUUAUAUUAAUAAAAGGAAACAAUUAACUUAAUGGAGUUGAAAAGACAAGUUAUCGAAAUGAUGGUAAAUCCUGUUUUUAGUUAUCAACAUGGUCAUCAUCAAGAAAGUGACAUGACGAUGACACUAACAUGGUGACAAGAUGCAAUCAAGGAAACAGUGGCCAAACCCAGAACUGGAUCAAUACCAGUGACUAAUUUACUCAAAAUUUACUAUUGAAAAGUUUUCCUCCUUCAAAUCAUUAAGAUUAAGAGGUAAUCAUAUUUGAUUAUUUUUUUACUAGCAAAAAACAAUCAAAUAUCAUUAUCAUCUUCCUAUUGACACUAAUCUGUCAAUCACUUUAAUUCAAUGACCUUAAGAUUAAGGUAAUAACUUUACUAUUAAGAUAACUUUUCAAAUUAAUUGAAUUGGAUUAAUAGAACUGACAAAUCUUUAUAUACACUGUAUAUACUAAUGGGAGUUAAUUUUUGGAGUGAUUAAUAUUACAAUUACUCUUGGAGUUGAACCAAUUAAUCUCUAUACUUUGUUGAUUAAGUUAAUCGUAAUCAUAUUUGGAUUACUUUUCGUUAAAUUAUAAUACUCAAAAUAGUAAUCAAGAAAUGUCAUUUUCAUUACUAUAUAUUUACUCAUGAUGAUCAUUUGAAAUAUAUAAUUAUAAUAGUACAAAGUUAAUCAACCAUAAUAUAAAUGGUGAAAUUGAUUCUUAAUCAUCUUCAUUUAUAUUUACAAUCUCAUGGUUGUUUAUUUGAUAAAAGUAAUUGAUGAUUUCUGUACUUGAAUUAAAUCCUAUUUACUUGACAGUAGAUUUAGUUUCACCUUAAUUGUACAUCACAACUAAUUUUUUGAUUACUCAACAACCAAUGGAAACGUGAAUUUAUCUUAAUCAUCUAAUGUUCAUUCAGAUAAUUUAGAUUUAGAUUCUUCAGAAAAGUCUAAUUGUAAACAAUCAACUAUCCUCAUUGUUACUCUAAUAAUAAUAAUAAUAAUCAGAAUCAUCAUUUACCGAUUGUUUGAACAAUUAAGGAUUUUCUUUCUCUAUAAAAUCCCUUCCAGUUGAAAAUGAUCAUCAUUUGGUUUCAUUAUUGGAUUUCAUCAAAAAAAUCACUUUAAUAAUUCAACGAAUUGUAAAUUUAAUCCAGUUCAAGGUGCUAAUCAUUUCCUGGUGAUAAUCACCACCAUACAAUUAACUAAUUUGAUCUUCAUUGUGAACUUAACAGUUGUUACUUAAUAAUGGUGGUUACUUUAAAAUGAUAGUUAAUCUUGUCAAACAAUCAAAUUGUUGAUGUGGGUCAAUGAUGGUCAAGUUGAAAUUUACUAAUAGAUGAAUAACAAUUAUGUAUUGAGAAAAAUAACUUUUCUUUUCCUGGAUUUCAUCAUCUACAACAAUAAUCAACUAAUCAUCAUCAUCAUCUUCUUCAUUCCAAUAUGAUGAUGAUGAUUUUUGAUCGAUAAAAACCAAUCCCAUGGAUAAUGAUGAUAAAUCUUCGAGAGAUACUAUGAGAAUAAUUUUUUCUUUUGCUUUUCUAGAAUUGGUUCAAUCAUUUUGUUGACAAUCAAAACCACAAAUCAGUUGAAUACUCACAUUCUAAUGGAUACAAUUUACUGAGCAAUUAAAAGAGACAAAAAUGACAAAGGUGAUGGUUGGAAAUAUUUGAAUCCAGACUGAUAUUCAUGUCCUUUUAAAUUGUUACCGUUACAUUUGAAAGGCAAACUGAAUCAAGUUGAUCAAUUUCCAUUUCAAUCAUGUGAAUCAACAACAACAACAAUCCUGAUGUUAUUAUAAUAACACUUAACAUUUCAUUGGAACCCAAUCAUAACAAACAGACAAUACAAUUUAAAAGGAUAAUCAAAAUGUUGAAGAAUCAACAAAUUUAAAAACAUCAAUCCAUCAAUAUUAUAAUUCAAUCCACUUAUACCAAUAUAAUAUCAAUUGAAUUUUGUGAAAUCAACUUUUCAAAUCGUAUCUUUAUCAUCCUUUGAUAUUUACUUUUAACAAGUAAUUUUGUUAAUGAUAAUCAACGACAAUUUAGUAAACAAUUUGAAAAGUUUUCUCCUCUCUGUUGAAAAUUGUAUCUAAAAAAAGAUUCAAAACAAAAUCUGAGUAGAUUUUGACAUUUUGUUUACAAUAUAAAUUCAAUUCUGAUUAUUAUCAUUGUUAUUAUUCAGCAUCCUCUUGAUGAUGAUCAUCAUCAUCACUUCAUCCGCAUCACCAGUAAAUUGAUUAUCUAUAUUGUUGUUGAACUAAAAAAACGAAAAAGAAAUUCAUUUUUCUUAUAAAUUCAGUUGAUUAUCAUAGUUAUUGUAAUGAUAAUUGAAUAAUUUAAGUGUAAUGAUAAUCAGCCAACCUUAUGUAAUUAAAAUUCAU